AUAUAAUAAACCCUAAAAUCUCCAAAACACGAAGAAAAUCUACCCAUCCCCAAUUUUUUCGAUUUCCCCCAAUUCUUCAGCUCCAAAAACCCUAACUCCAUCCUUCAAUGGCGAAGAAACGAAGAGUCGAAGAUGAAGAAGAUACAGACCCAGAAAUGGAUUCAUCAUCGGAAGAAGUAGAAGAAAUAGAAGAAGAGGAGGACGAAGAAGAGGAAGAAACAGAUAAAUCAGUCGAACCAGAAGCUGAAGAACCAGCAGCAGCAGCAGAAGAAGAUUUAACAAAGAUUCUUGAAAUAUUCAGUAAAGAACAAUUAAUAGAUAUUAUUCGUUCAGCAUCAACAGAGAAUAAAAAACUCGUUGAAGAUAUUCAUAAAUUAGCAGAUCAAGAUCCAUCUCAUCGGAAAUUGUUUGUUCAUGGAUUAGGUUGGGAAACAACAUCAGAUAAACUCAGAGAGAUUUUCUCUACUUAUGGUGAGCUUGAAGAUUGUAAUGUUGUUGUUGAUAAAAAUACAGGUAAAUCUAAAGGGUAUGGUUUCAUAUUAUAUAAACAUAGAAAAUCUGCUUCAAAAGCUUUGCAAGAGCCACAGAAGAAGAUUGAGAAUCGGAUGACUGCUUGUCAGUUAGCUUCUUCUGGACCUGUUAAUAUUCCUUCUCAACAACAGCACCAUCAGCAGCCGCAGCAGCACCAAUUUCAACAGAUGAAUCAUCAUGUGAAGAAGAAUGGUAAUUCUUCUGCGGCGGGGAUGUCGCCAGAGAUGUUGCAGAGGAAAAUCUAUGUAGGUAAUGUAAACUCUGAGGUUUCUGGUGAGAAAUUACAUUCUUUUUUCUCAAAGUACGGUGAAAUUGAAGAAGGUCCAUUAGGGUUUGAUAAAAGCACUGGGAAACCUAAAGGGUAUGCUUUGUUUAUAUAUAAAACUCUUGAAGGUGCAAGAAAGGCUUUAGAAGAACCUAGCAAGAAUUUUGAAGGGCAUGUGUUGUUUUGUCAGAAAGCUACUGAUAAUAACAAGCAGAAAUCAGGUUCUGGUUCUGCACCUUUACCUACUGGGAGUUUGCCUAUGAAGAAUGAUGGGUUUAAUCAUGUUGGUAAUGCUGGAGUUGGUGGGUUUAAUCCUCCACAGCCUGGUGUUGGUCCUGGUUAUAAUCCUCAGAAUGGUGUUAUGGGUCAUCAUGGGCUUAUGAUGAAUCAGGGACUUAUGGGUGGUGUUCCGCCGUAUGGUCAAGGGAUGCAACCGAUUCAAGCUGCAUUAGCUGUACUUGCUGCUGCAGGGCAGAAUCCAGGUGCUUUUGGAGUGAUGAACCCUGCUUUAGCAGGUUUUAAUCCAAUGGCACCUAUGCAACCAGGAUUGGGAGCUUUUGGAAUGGGUAACCCAAUGUAUCAGAAUCCACAAGGUCAUCAACUAAUUGGACCCCCUGGCCAAGGUCCUGCUAAGAGACCCGCUUUAAGGCCACCAGGAGGAUAUGGAGCUCGUUGAGUUUGUCCCGAUGUCCUGGUACUCCAGGCUGCCAACUUUAUUCGGUUAUAUGCCGCAUGAUAUAGUCUGCUCCACUAUAUCCUCUCCUGUUGAAUGUGAAAAGCCAAAUUACGCUUCUCCGUGAGCAAGAAAGUACAAAUCAUUCUUUUCAGGGCCAUGAAAAGAACUAGGCUUUCGUAAGCCUAACAUGAGGAUGUCAGAAGUUCUUCUUAUUGGUUAACAUCAUCACCAUGAAUGGUGAAAUAAAAGAUAGUUUGCUGGUCUGGCUAGGUAUGCCUGAAACAUUUGGAUUGGAACUGCUUGAUGGUUAGUUUGUGUUCAACUGCUUGAGUAUGAGUAUGUUAAACAGUGCAUCGCAUUUCGAAAUUUUGGUUCCCUAUCUCGAGGGCUGCUUGAUGGUGUCAAGUUUGGUGACAAUGGUCUUGGUAUCAUUAAGUUGAGGAGAACCAAUGAUACCUGUCUCAGAUUUUCUGUUGCGUAUCGCCAAUGUUUUAACAUGCUAGGAGAGUCUAGGACCACAGGAUACAUUAUCCUUGCUUUUGUAUCGCCUACGUAAUAAUGGUGAAGUAUUGAUAGUUUGCUGGUCUUGCUAGGUUUGUCUGAAACAUAUGAAUUUGAACUUGUCCUCAACUUCUUGAGUAUGUUAAAUACUGCAUUACAUUUCAAAAUUUGGUUCUUGAUAAAUCCUCAUAGGGCUGCUUUAAUGACAAUGGUCCUGAUAAUUCACAGUACCUGUCUCAUUUUUGUUAAGCCGUCCUUUUAUAUUGUGCUAGGAGAGUCUAGGACUACGGGAUCAUUGCUAUAUUAUUAUGUUUCUAGAAACAAUCCUAGUUAUGGAGGCCCUCUGAUAAUUUUACCCUGAUAUUCAGAAGCAGAUAAACUAUGUUAUUUCCUGUAACAAAAGUAUGACGCAGAAAUUACAGAUGAUGGAAGGCUAACUGCUACUGAACAACAGAAAAGCAAUCUCGAGCUUCUUGUACCGAAGUUGGGUUAAGCUUGUUUCUUAUUAUUGCUAUUGCCAUUUUUGCUAUACUCAACUUUUCAUGUUAAUUUCCUACAAAUAUUGGAGACGGUGCAAAUUGAUAUGUAUUCCCAGGUCACUAAUUUCGGCUCUCUAAACUGGCAAUGUUGAAUUCAGUAUAAAUGACCUUACAAAUUUGUUCUUGUUA